CAGAGUUGGAAGAAGCCAUCGGCCUGGAAGAAAAUCUGGCCCAAGACAGAGAAAGGUGAUAAAACUAAGUUUUCAAUGGAAUGGUAUCUCAAACAUAGUAAGAGGAAUUUAAACCAAAGGCCUAUCCAAACAAAAAUGUGUUUCCUUAGUCACUAAGCCAUACUAACGGCACAAUAAUUAUCAAGGUAGUUGAUUUAGCAACUUCCACUUCUGACCAUGAUGGAAUAGCUUGUGACAAAACAGUGUUCCCACUGAGAACAACUAGAAAAUAUGAGAUGAAACGAAAAGCAACAAACACCUAUUUGAAGAUAUAACCAUAGAGACAGCCAAGCUUUCAGUUGCCAAGAUCCUGGGCAGAAACAUAAAGUAAGAGAGGUGUGGCCAAGGCCACCUACAGAAGAGCCUUACAAGAGAACCAAAGCGAAAGAGAGAGAAGAAUAUGGGUCAGAAAAGAAUCAUCACAUCCUGAUACUGACACACGGUGGACCAAGCCCUAGCUUAACAACUGUCCUUUAUUAAAUAAAAUAUGGUGCAACGGCCAAAGAUUUAUGGCAAAAAUAGAAAAUUGUUAACAUUCAUAAAGUUUUAGGUGU